rnacentral:rRNA from 1 species
AUUGAACGCUGGCGGCAGGCCUAACACAUGCAAGUCGAACGAGUGGCGGACGGGUGAGUAAUGUCUGGGAAACUGCCCGAUGGAGGGGGAUAACUACUGGAAACGGUAGCUAAUACCGCAUACCAUCGGAUGUGCCCAGAUGGGAUUAGCUAGUAGGUGGGGUAACGGCUCACCUAGGCGACGUUCCCUAGCUGGUCUGAGAGGAUGACCAGACGCACUGGAACUGAGACACGGUCCAGACUCCUCCGGGAGGCAGCAGUGGGUAUUAUUGCACAAUGGGCGCAAGCCUGAUGCAGCCAUGCCGCGUGUAUGAAGAAGGCCUUCGGGUUGUAAAGUACUUUCAGCGGGGAGGCGUUACCCGCAGAAGAAGCACCGGCUAACUCCGUGCAAGCAGCGGCGGUAAUAC